ACGCUGGCGGCAGGCCUAACACAUGCAAGUCGAGCGGCAGCACGGGUACUUGUACCUGGUGGCGAGCGGCGGACGGGUGAGUAAUGCCUAGGAAUCUGCCUGGUAGUGGGGGAUAACGUUCGGAAACGGACGCUAAUACCGCAUACGUCCUACGGGAGAAAGCAGGGGACCUUCGGGCCUUGCGCUAUCAGAUGAGCCUAGGUCGGAUUAGCUAGUUGGUGAGGUAAUGGCUCACCAAGGCUACGAUCCGUAACUGGUCUGAGAGGAUGAUCAGUCACACUGGAACUGAGACACGGUCCAGACUCCUACGGGAGGCAGCAGUGGGGAAUAUUGGACAAUGGGCGAAAGCCUGAUCCAGCCAUGCCGCGUGUGUGAAGAAGGUCUUCGGACUGUAAAGCACUUUAAGUUGGGAGGAAGGGCAGUUACCUAAUACGUGAUUGUUUUGACGUUACCGACAGAAUAAGCAUCGGCUAACUCUGUGCCAGCAGCCGCGGUAAUACAGAGGGUGCAAGCGUUAAUCGGAAUUACUGGGCGUAAAGCGCGCGUAGGUGGUUUGUUAAGUUGGAUGUGAAAUCCCCGGGCUCAACCUGGGAACUGCAUUCAAAACUGACCGACUAGAGUAUGGUAGAGGGUGGUGGAAUUUCCUGUGUAGCGGUGAAAUGCGUAGAUAUAGGAAGGAACACCAGUGGCGAAGGCGACCACCUGGACUAAUACUGACACUGAGGUGCGAAAGCGUGGGGAGCAAAC
rnacentral:rRNA from 1 species